UGGGGAAUAUUGGACAAUGGGCGAAAGACUGAUCCAGCCAUGCCGCGUGUGUGAAGAAGGUCUUCGGAUUGUAAAGCACUUUAAGUUGGGAGGAAGGGCAUUAACCUAAUACGUUAGUGUUUUGACGUUACCGACAGAAUAAGCACCGGCUAACUCUGUGCCAGCAGCCGCGGUAAUACAGAGGGUGCAAGCGUUAAUCGGAAUUACUGGGCGUAAAGCGCGCGUAGGUGGUUUGUUAAGUUGGAUGUGAAAUCCCCGGGCUCAACCUGGGAACUGCAUUCAAAACUGACUGACUAGAGUAUGGUAGAGGGUGGUGGAAUUUCCUGUGUAGCGGUGAAAUGCGUAGAUAUAGGAAGGAACACCAGUGGCGAAGGCGACCACCUGGACUAAUACUGACACUGAGGUGCGAAAGCGUGGUGAGCAAACA
rnacentral:rRNA from 1 species